rnacentral:rRNA from 1 species
UACGGAGGGUGCAAGCGUUGUUCGGAAUCACUGGGCGUAAAGGGCGUGUAGGCGGUCCGCUAAGUCUGAUGUGAAAGCCCGGGGCUUACCCCCGGAAGGGCAUUGGAAACUGGCGGACUCGAGUCCCGGAGAGGAAGGUGGAAUUCCUGGUGUAGCGGUGAAAUGCGUAGAUAUCAGGAGGAAUACCGGUGGCGAAGGCGGCCUUCUGGACGGUGACUGACGCUGAGACGCGAAAGCGUGGGGAGCAAACAGG